UGCAUUUGGUGGGAAGAGAAAAAUAUGAAUGGAGAGGCAGAAGGGGAAAGAGAAGAGGCAGAUAAUUGGCUUUCUCUUUGUCAGCUGAGUCACAAUCCCAAAGGACAACCUGGACAUCACAACAGGUUUCUCAUUUCUUGUGAAGUAAUUUCACCAAGAGACACAGAACAUUUCAAGCAGAAGUUGCAU